UUUAAUUCAUUUAAAUUACAGGUAGCCUUAACACAGUAGCAUUGAAGUUGAAUAAACCUUCAGCUCGAGACACCGUGCACCGUAUUCUCAAUGAAUUUGACCUUCCCACUAAAUAUGUGGACAAUCUUCCAGAGUCACUGCACGAACCAGAUAGGAAGAUAAAGUGGCAUCAACCAUUUCAUGGUGGCUCAAGCACCUUUAACCCUGAGGACGAGCUGUAUUCAGCCAGACUGAGGGAAAAUCUGAACUCAUGGCUGAUCUAGAACAUGGGGAGGCCGAGAGAAGAUAAGCCGUCAGUGAGCCUAUUCGCCAAGAUAUUGUGAGACUCCGCCACAGUUUGAUGGAGGAGCUGAAUCUGAGUCAGCUCUCUUGGCAGCGAGGUCUUGGCACGACACACUUGCGAGGCUGCCUUCAGGGUCUCAAGGCACUCACCAUGCACCAUCAGGUGAUUAAGGAAAUUUUGUAAGGUCGGGCUGUCCAUUUUGGGAAUGAGACGGGUGUGAGUUUGGAAGGACAUGUCGUUCUUAGUACGGCUCCUCCCCGACUUACGACUGGGUUAGGGACCCAAAUCCAGGUCGUAAGUCGAAAUGGUUGUAAGUCAAAAAUGCUUAAAUAAUACUUAGAA